UACGUAGGGUCCGAGCGUUGUCCGGAAUCAUUGGGCGUAAAGCGCGCGUAGGCGGCUUCGUAAGUCCGUUGUGAAAGUCAAAGGCUCAACCUUUGAAAGCCGAUGGAUACUGUGAAGCUAGAGUACGGAAGAGGCGAGUGGAAUUCCUGGUGUAGCGGUGGAAUGCGCAGAUAUCAGGAGGAACACCAAUAGCGAAGGCAGCUCGCUGGGACGUUACUGACACUGAGGCGCGAAAGCGUGGGAGCGAACAGG
rnacentral:rRNA from 1 species